AACGCUGGCGGCGUGCCUAACACAUGCAAGUCGAACGCGAAAGCCCCGCAAGGGGUAAGUAGAGUGGCGAACGGGUGAGUAACACGUGGGUGACCUACCUUCGAGUGGGGGAUAACGUCCCGAAAGGGACGCUAAUACCGCAUAACAUCCUGCUCUUGAACGAGUGGAGAUCAAAGCCGGACGGUAUGCGACCUGGCGUUUGAAGAGGGGCCCGCGUCUGAUUAGCUAGUUGGUGAGGUAACGGCCCACCAAGGCGACGAUCAGUAUCCGGCCUGAGAGGGCGGACGGACACACUGGGACUGAGACACGGCCCAGAUAUGAGUACGGGAGGCAGCAAUUCAGAAUUGUUCGCAAUGGGCGCAAGCCUGACGACGCAACGCCGCGUGGAGGAUGAAGGUCUUCGGAUUGUAAACUCCUGUUGCCCGGGACGAAAAGUCUCGACCUAACACGUCGAGAUCUGACGGUACCGGGUGAGGAAGCCCCGGCUAACUCUGUGCCAGCAGCCGCGGUAAUACAGAGAUUAAUGCAAGCGUUGUUCGGAAUUACUGGGCGUAAAGGGCGCGUAGGCGGCCUUCUAAGUCGAACGUGAAUUAAUCGGGCUCAACCCGGGAACUGCGUCCGAUACUUAUUGGCUUGAAUCCGGGAGAGGGAUGCGGAAUUCCAGGUGUAGCGAUCAAAUGCGUAGAUAUCUGGAGGAACACCGGUGGGCGAAGGCGGCAUCCUGGACCGGUAUUGACGCUGAGGCGCGAAAGCCAGGGGAGCAAACGGGAUUAGAUACCCCGGUAGUCCUGGCCCUAAACGAUGAAUGCUUGAUUAGGAGUAUCGAUCCCUGCCGUGCCGAAGCUAACGCAUUAAGCAUUCCGCCUGGGGAGUACGGUCGCAAGGCUGAAACUCAAAGGAAUUGACGGGGGCCCGCACAAGCGGUGGAGCAUGUGGUUCAAUUCGACAUUAGAGCGCGAAGAACCUUACCCAGGCUUGAACUGCGAGCGACAACCUACGAAAGUAGGCUUCCGCAAGGACGCUCGUAUAUGGCGUGCUGCAUGGCUGUAUAUAGCUCGUGUCGUAUUACCAGGGUUGGGUUAAGUCCCGCAACGAGCGCAACCCUUGUCUUCUGUUGCCAUCGGGUUAUGCCGGGCACUCUGAAGAGACUGCCGGUGACAAACCGGAGGAAGGUGGGGAUGACGUCAAGUCAGCAUGGCCUUUAUAGAUGGGCCACACACGUCAGUUAUGACAAUGGCCGGUACCAGUGCAAACUCGCGAGGGUGAGCUAAUCGGAGAAAGCCGGUCUCAGUUCGGACCAGAGGGCUGCAACUCGCCUGCAUGAAGUUGGAAUCGCUAGUAAUCGCGGAUCAGCACGCCGCGGUGAAUACGUUCCCGGGCCUUGUACACACCGCCCGUCACAUCACUAUAUAUUGGGGUG
rnacentral:rRNA from 1 species